UCUGGGCGGGGUAGCGUCCGCUUGUAACCUGACCGCGGGGGAAGGAGGGUGAGGAUGUGGGGGCGCCGGGCACGGGCCUGCGGAGGGGUGUGGAGGGCCUGCCCACUCCAAGCAUGGAGUCGCCAGUGGAACCUCGUCGGAGGGUGGGGUUUCGCGGGCGAUGGUGAGGGGGGCACCGCGUCAGGCGGGCAACCGAGCAGCGUUCACUCCCCGCUCCGUGCAGUGGAGGGACAACGGGCCUGAAUGUUCUGCGCAGAUCACCCUGCCCGGCAUGCAUCCACAUACCACCUUCCCUUUU
rnacentral:SRP_RNA from 1 species